CACCAAAUGGAGAAUAGGAAUCAAAACAAGAAGAAAUCCAUCUGGAGUUUUUGUUUGCUCUCUUCUUCCUUCUCUUCUUGAUCGGGCUUCUUCUUCUCUUCUUCUUCCUUGCUCCUCU
rnacentral:ribozyme from 13 species